rnacentral:rRNA from 1 species
UACGAAGGGGGCUAGCGUUGCUCGGAAUUACUGGGCGUAAAGGGAGCGUAGGUGGACAGUUUAGUCAGAGGUGAAAGCCCAGGGCUCAACCUUGGAAUUGCCUUUGAUACUGGCUGUCUUGAGUACGGAAGAGGUAUGUGGAACUCCGAGUGUAGAGGUGAAAUUCGUAGAUAUUCGGAAGAACACCAGUGGCGAAGGCGACAUACUGGUCCGUUACUGACACUGAGGCUCGAAAGCGUGGGGAGCAAACAGGG